AGUACCAUUAACAGUUUCUGAAGCAAUAGUAGUAGCAAUAGAAGUAGCAGUAGUAGCAGUUGUUGCAAUAGUAGCAGUUGUUGCUGCUGUUGUUGUUGCUGCUGUUGUUGUUGCUGCUGUUGUUGUUGCUGCUGCUGUUGUUGUUGCUGCUGUUGUUGCUGCUGCUGUUGCUGCUGUUAUUGUUGCUGCUGUUGUUGGUGGUGUUGUUGAUGCUGUAGUAAUUAAAGUAGUAGUUCUGCAGAAGUAGGAGUAGUUGUUACUUUCAAAGCAAUUUCUACAAGUUAAAAUUCCUUAACCCUGUCCAAGUGGUAUACACACUGUUUUUUCUCAAUAUCAAACUCAGCCAGUCCAGGUUGUCAAAUAACAAUCUAUCUGAUAACCCCAACGUGUGCUUUGCAUCAGAUGUUGGGUAUGUUUGCUGCAAAUCUAUUGGUUAUAAGAUAUAACAGCCUUUUCUAAUUGGCUGAAUUCAAAUACAGAAAGUUUACCUGUUAGAUUGAAACAUGAAACAUGGUGAACAAUGUACUGGUUAAACUUGUUAAAAUAAAGUUAAAGAAAUUUAACAAACAGAAGAGUUCAUGAGUUUUUCCAUUAAAAACACUUUCUUAAAAUACUUAUGUAUUUAUAUCAUUUGGAAAGUGACAUGAAAUAUUGCUAAAGAGUGAUGCAUACAGUGUUUGAGCAGUCUGUCUAGGAAUAGAACAACAACUGAAGUUGAUGGAAGAUACUGCAGAGUUUGGCAGGGAAAUAAUCUAACAGCAAAGCGGCUCUUUAAGCGCAUUUACCUAGAGGACUUACAGGGCCACAAAUUCAUGAGCACAUGUGAGCAGUAUACAAUGUACCUCAUACCAAAAAGGACCCGGAGGCAGUGACUGGUGUUCAAUAUUCUCAGAAGAAAAGGAAAAUGGCAGUGGAAGACUUGUACAAACAUUUUUAAAAACUAGCCUCUGUGUUAAGCCUGGCAGUCUGUGGCUAGUGACAUGUUUUAUUUCGGUUACUUCUUGUAUAAAAAAGACCAGUUAUUUAUUUUGUGAAUUGUAUUUUGUGUUUGUUUUUUGUCUUUAUUUAUUUGUGUUUUUUUUAAUUUAGGAAUUUGAAACUUGGAUAAUUGAAUAAAGUCCGUGUUCAACAGUACUGAGCAUAGUAUAAUAAAUAACAAAUUUACAACAGUUGUUAAUUUGUUAUGUAUUAUUAUUAACUAUGCUCAGUACUUGAAUACUGGUUGUCUGCAUGGGAAUUUGUUUUCUAGAAAGUUGGUUUCAGACUUAAAUAUUUUUGAAGUUAACCUUCGGAACUUUUCUAGAAUUGUACUGGAACACAUCAACUAGAACUGAACUUCUGUUAUCAUACUGAAAGUGUUCUAGAAUUAAUAAGGAACAGUUGUUGAACGUUAAAACUUAUGAGAAAAACUCUAGAACAAUUGUGCGUGAUGUGUGUGUGCAUGUAAUUGUGUGUGUUUAUGAACAUAUGUUAGAAAGGAAGUAUACUUGUCAUAAGAGAAAUGUAAAAUUCUACUUCUAUGUUUUAUAUUGUGCCUUUUAUAAGUUUUUCUUUUCUCACCUGUAUAUGCGGGCAUGUUUAUGGAUGUGUUUCUGAAUGUGUGCAUGCAUGCCUGUGGUUAAGAGAGUUGGUACUUUAUGAAAAUGUAAAACCACUCAUUUUUGAAUAUGUACUGUGACUGCAUGUGUGUGGUUAAUGAUUGAUGCCAGAUCUUGUUCUUGUUUAACUUCUAUGAUGAAACUUUUAGUUACAUUCACAUUUGUUUUUCAAAAUCGAUAAAAUGCCUUUGAUCUAUAA